rnacentral:lncRNA from 10 species
CACUCUAAUAGCUCAUGUGAGAGAGGCAUUUAUUUGAUGAUGUCAUUGAUCCAACUGGACACUGUGAGCCUGACUGGGAAAACACUGGCUCCCAAUUUCAAUCCUUGUGGUCUGCUGAAGUCAGAGAAGUCAUGUGCUGAGCUCUUUGUGCUUAGCACAUUUGUGCAUUUCCAGGCCUCCUCUGCAUCUGAGCAAAGAAAAACCCUGAGACUCUUAAAGAAAGAUGCUGGAGAGAAACUAGAUCAUCUUUCAAGCCAUUUAUCAAAGUGCUCACAUUUCCCAUUUCAAGCCCGGUGAAACAAUAAUAAGCCCUGAGAAAUGAGAGCUGAAAAAUAGAAAACAAAGGAAAAAAAAAAAAAAAGAAAGAAAAAGAAGAAAGCUGAUGUUUUGGUUCUUGCCAACUUUGGAUCAAAGAUGGAAGGUUUUAGAUGGCUUGUAAAUCACACUUUCAAAAAAUGUGCUGCAUUUUCUAAGGCUGGAGUGCCAUUUCUUUUCUAUUUCCAGUAGGGAAUCUUGUUCAUCAUGCUGUGUGUCAGAGACAAAGUUUGUCAAACCAACUGAUAAUUUUCCUUAAAGGCAGUUAGAAUUACCUACUUCAGGAAGAAGAACACUAUAAUGGUUCACUGUGCUUUCUCCUCCUGUCAGGUUAAAAAUUAAGGGUUAUGCAAGGGCAAGGGGCUGGUCAAAUAUGUGGUCUUCAUUCACUUGGAAUCAAGACAAGGUCAUUUUAUUGUUGGAGACACGUGGUUUAUCUCCUUUGAUUCUCAGUAAGUAGUGUUCACCAGGAUGGAUUCAAGUUGAAAAGUUGUGCCAUGGCCAAAGAAAGAGAGUAACACAUUCUCUCCAAGACUAUGUAGAUUGUGGAUAUAUCCUUUGAGAUCAUUGAGUGGUUAUCCUAAUGGCUUUGCUUUAAGUGUCAGGGUUCUACUUAGAUUAGGUACUCUCUGGAAAAUACAGUGUUACUCUGAAGAUAUAUCAUCAUCAAAAAGCAUUUAUCAAUGUUUCCGCUAUAUGCGUCUGGAAAAGGUGCUAUAGAAUACAACUGAUUUUUACAAGGUUUCUAACAUAAGAAAAUAUUGGAACUAGAAGAAUUCUUACAGUAACAGAUUGAUACAUAAAGAAGAAUGUUUGCAUACGGGCCAAGUAGACAAUGACAUUUAUAAGAUUCAGACUUACCAGUUCAAGAUAAUAGGAAGCCUAAAUUUAAUUUAAAUAUAUAUUUUGGUAUUAUAUUAAAAAGAAUACUGGGAAAUAGAGAAUUGACAUAUCUAAAGGAAUCCUAGACAGAAAGCCCAAAAAUAGAAAAUGCGGUAGUUGCCUUUUAUGAUACUUGUGACACUUGGGGUUUUUAUACUGAAGAAGUAUAUCCUGAAAGGGAGAACUUUAAAAUUGGUUUGGUUGUGAAUCUCUUUGUUUGGGACACAUCCCAGAGAAGUCUUUUUUUUUUUUUUUUUUUUGAGAGUGUCCCUAUUACAAGGCAGGCCAGAUGACCUCGCAAACUGCCUUUCAGCCACAAACUCUGUGAAAUCAGAAAAUGGUCCCAAUCAUGUCAGGAAACCUGCUAGUCCCUCUAGGUAAUGGAAGAGGGCAAGCUGAAGAAACAUUCAAUAAGCAUAAAGUAAGCAUUAUUGAUGUCUUAAAAGUGUUAGUAUCCCAUGAAACACAGGAGCGUGGGUAUCCGGAUUAAAAUCAUUGGCACCAGCAGGACCAUAACUCUCACUGCUAAGCGAUAAUGCAUUUUGCAUUAAUGCCUAACAUUGAGAAAUCCUGACAUGCCACACCAAGGGAGUUUGAAGUCAAGUAAGUAGAUUCCCUUUGAAUUGAAGUCCUGUGGGCCACAGUGGGUGCAGAAAGCCCAAGCUGAAAGAUCAGGGGGCAGGGACUUGAUUUAAGGGAAGGAAACUCAUCACCGUAGAUAGGUUAAGAGGCCUACUGCAUAUGGCUCCAAACUCUGUGCACUCAGGGUUUCCACUUAACAGAGGGGAAGAGCAUUGGCCUAGAGAACUUGCAACUUAGAAGUCCUUCACAGUGAUUUGGGAAUUCCUUGAACACAGAGGGCAUAGCCUUUUACUGCUUUCCUUAUCCUCUAUCCCAGCAGCUAUUAGUAUGGUUUACCAAAAGUUAGCACUUGACGGGUGACUGAAAAUUAAGAUUUUGCAGACUGUUAGCUCCACUCGGCUAUUUCUCUCACUAUAGGAGAGCCUGACUCCCACCACGCCCCUUCCAGGGAACAAGCAAAGUGACAGACAUUGUUUCUUUUGACUGAUACAUUAUUAUCUCCAACACUCUCUUUCCUUUGCUGUAACCUCAAGUUUCAAAGGAGCCAAAGAAAAAUAUUAAUAAUUGGAGGCAGCCUGACGACCUAAGACAAAAUCAUUGUGGAGCUGACACCAGCUCUGCAAGCUUUUGCACCUCUAAUGGGACACCGUAUGCUGAGAAGCAGCAAAACAACAGAGGAGUCUGCUUUCACGUUGAAAUUUUAUGAUUAACUCCUCUGACUAAAUGCAGACAAGUAUAAAUGCUCUGCCUGGAAACCGAGCCUAAGACACAAAGCAAAAUGGAUCCUUUUUAAAGCCGAGCAUAUUUCAGAGAAGAAAAAAGGACUCCGUUUCUACUUACAUACUUCAGCAGACUCCUCCUCCCUCCCCCACCCCACCCCCAGCUGCCAACCAAGGUGUUUGGCCGGCAUCCACUGUAAUCUGUUCUCCUUCAUUAUGUUAAUCUGUGGGCGGAAAGAUUUCUGUCAUCUUCGAAUCGCUUGUACAGCAAUGGUAAACACCUUGGCCUGUCUGUAAUUGGACAGGUGUCUGCAUUGAUGUCACCCAGCUUUUAAUUCAAUUAAAGAACUGGCUGCUCUGCUCUCAUCACCCACUCAUUUCCGUUGCACUUUUAGUCUGGCGGUGAAAUCUGCAUGCAGCAACUGUCUACCCUGAGUCCAAAGUCAGGGGUCCCCUUGUAAGGAUCAUGCACAAUAUUUCAAAUGCACUCCAACAAUCCAAGAGUAUUUCCACGUUAGCAAAGGCAUUUGGGAUAACAUGGAGAAUUUAUCUCUCAUUUUUUUUUCUUUAUCUUUAUAUUCUACUGCAUCUAAAUGAUAUCUUCUACUACUGGCCAGUAAUUAGGAGCAGUCACAGCAAACAGAAAAGCUGUUUCUAGCUUCCUCUCCCCAGGGUUUUCCCCCAUCUCAAGAGAACUCAUCAGAGUACAAUGCUCUUAUUUAUUUGCUGGCAUUUCACAUUUGGAUCAAGAAAGUGAGGGUGGGCAAGAGCAAGACAUUUAUUAAGAGGGCCAUCUGGUAAGGGAUGCCACACAGGCAGAGCUGCUACUGCUACCUGGAGACAUAAUGGAAGAGCCCACUUUUUAAAAGAAAACUGGCUAGGGGAAGGAGGGCAGAAGAAGAGACUUCUGGCUGAGGAUCCCGCUGCAGUGCUGAUAAAAUCUAAUUUUUAAGUAUACAUCCCAAACCAACCCAGUGGAUGGAUUAAAGAGAGUAAUCAAUCCAAUAUGCCAUGCUUCCUGACCACUUAAAGGAACCUCUGAAAAUAAAGUUCUAACACAGACAUUUUGACACAGUGAUCCCAUGAAACUGAAUAAUGACAUUUGUUAAAUAUGGAUGAAAACUUAACUAUCUAAUAGAGAUCUGGAAACAUAUCCAGGAUGCUUCUCCUCUGGUUCUUAGCCCAGGAGGGUGGGAUUUGUUAUUGUUGUUUUUGGAUAAUAUUUUCAAUAAAAAUAAGGACUUCUAAUAUUUACAAA